rnacentral:tRNA from 1 species
GGGGUUGUGGCUCAGUGGAAGAGUGUUCGCCUAGCAUGUGCAAGACCCUGGGUUCGAUCCUCAGCAGCACCU